CCUACGGGGGGCAGCAGUCGAGAAUCAUUCACAAUGGGGGAAACCCUGAUGGUGCGACGCCGCGUGGGGGAAUGAAGGUCUUCGGAUUGUAAACCCCUGUCAUGUGGGAGCAAAUUAAAAAGAUAGUACCACAAGAGGAAGAGACGGCUAACUCUGUGACAGCAGCCGCGGUAAUACAGAGGUCUCAAGCGUUGUUCGGAAUCACUGGGCGUAAGGCGUGCGUAGGCGGUUUCGUAAGUCGUGUGUGAAAGGCGCGGGCUCAACCCGCGGACGGCACAUGAUACUGGGCAACUAGAGUCAUGGAGGGGGAAGCGGAAUGCUCGGUGUAGCAGUGAAAUGCGUAGAUAUCGAGAGGAACACUCGUGGCGAAGGCGGGUUCCUGGACAUUAACUGACGCUGAGGCACGAAGGCCAGGGGAGCGAAAGGGAUUAGAUACCCUUGUAGUC
rnacentral:rRNA from 1 species